CCUCCUUCCUCUGUGGUGACUUGAUUCAGCUGAAGCUACGAUUUGACCGAUCGAUGCAAGCACAUUACACACCAGAAUAAGAGUAAGAUUCCUAAGAAUUCACAGAUUGAAGUAAUUUCCUUCUAUAUUUGAUCCUCACAUGCUGAGCCAGCCAGCUAAUCUAGAGAUCAAAUAUGCACCAGGUCUACUGCAGGUACAUUUUGAAAAAUUCAGGCUAAGAUCUUGUCCCACUGUCAUGAUGUAAUCAAUUGUGAUAGCCAGGAUAAUAGAUGUGGAAUUUUGGAAAGGCAAGUUUCAGAAAUGGCACAAAAUGU